rnacentral:rRNA from 1 species
GGGUUGUGAGGUUAAGCGACUAAGCGUACACGGUGGAUGCCCUGGCAGUCAGAGGCGAUGAAGGACGUGCUAAUCUGCGAAAAGCGUCGGUAAGGUGAUAUGAACCGUUAUAGCCGGCGAUGUCCGAAUGGGGAAACCCAGUGCAAUUCGUUGCACUAUCGUUAACUGAAUACAUAGGUUAACGAGGCGAACCGGGGGAACUGAAACAUCUAAGUACCCCGAGGAAAAGAAAUCAACCGAGAUUCCCCCAGUAGCGGCGAGCGAACGGGGAGCAGCCCAGAGUCUGAAUCAGCUUGUGUGUUAGUGGAACGGUCUGGAAAGUCCGACGGUACAGGGUGAUAGUCCCGUACACCAAAAUGCACAGGCUGUGAACUCGAAGAGUAGGGCGGGACACGUGGUAUCCUGUCUGAAUAUGGGGGGACCAUCCUCCAAGGCUAAAUACUCCUGACUGACCGAUAGUGAACCAGUACCGUGAGGGAAAGGCGAAAAGAACCCCGGCGAGGGGAGUGAAAAAGAACCUGAAACCGUGUACGUACAAGCAGUGGGAGCACCUUCGGGUGUGACUGCGUACCUUUUGUAUAAUGGGUCAGCGACUUAUAUUCUGUAGCAAGGUUAACCGUAUAGGGGAGCCGCAGGGAAACCGAGUCUUAACUGGGCGUUAAGUUGCAGGGUAUAGACCCGAAACCCGGUGAUCUAGCCAUGGGCAGGUUGAAGGUUGGGUAACACUAACUGGAGGACCGAACCGACUAAUGUUGAAAAAUUAGCGGAUGACUUGUGGCUGGGGGUGAAAGGCCAAUCAAACCGGGAGAUAGCUGGUUCUCCCCGAAAGCUAUUUAGGUAGCGCCUCGUGAAUUCAUCUUCGGGGGUAGAGCACUGUUUCGGCUAGGGGGUCAUCCCGACUUACCAACCCGAUGCAAACUACGAAUACCGAAGAAUGUUAUCACGGGAGACACACGGCGGGUGCUAACGUCCGUCGUGAAGAGGGAAACAACCCAGACCGCCAGCUAAGGUCCCAAAGUCAUGGUUAAGUGGGAAACGAUGUGGGAAGGCACAGACAGCCAGGAUGUUGGCUUAGAAGCAGCCAUCAUUUAAAGAAAGCGUAAUAGCUCACUGGUCGAGUCGGCCUGCGCGGAAGAUGUAACGGGGCUAAACCAUGCACCGAAGCUGCGGCAGCGACACUAUGUGUUGUUGGGUAGGGGAGCGUUCUGUAAGCCUGCGAAGGUGUGCUGUGAGGCAUGCUGGAGGUAUCAGAAGUGCGAAUGCUGACAUAAGUAACGAUAAAGCGGGUGAAAAGCCCGCUCGCCGGAAGACCAAGGGUUCCUGUCCAACGUUAAUCGGGGCAGGGUGAGUCGACCCCUAAGGCGAGGCCGAAAGGCGUAGUCGAUGGGAAACAGGUUAAUAUUCCUGUACUUGGUGUUACUGCGAAGGGGGGACGGAGAAGGCUAUGUUAGCCGGGCGACGGUUGUCCCGGUUUAAGCAUGUAGGCUGGUUGUCCAGGCAAAUCCGGAUAAUCAAGGCUGAGGUGUGAUGACGAGGCACUACGGUGCUGAAGUAACAAAUGCCCUGCUUCCAGGAAAAGCCUCUAAGCAUCAGGUAACAUCAAAUCGUACCCCAAACCGACACAGGUGGUCAGGUAGAGAAUACCAAGGCGCUUGAGAGAACUCGGGUGAAGGAACUAGGCAAAAUGGUGCCGUAACUUCGGGAGAAGGCACGCUGGUGUGUAGGUGAAGUCCCUGCGGAUGGAGCUGAGACCAGUCGAAGAUACCAGCUGGCUGCAACUGUUUAUUAAAAACACAGCACUGUGCAAACACGAAAGUGGACGUAUACGGUGUGACGCCUGCCCGGUGCCGGAAGGUUAAUUGAUGGGGUUAUCCGUAAGGAGAAGCUCUUGAUCGAAGCCCCGGUAAACGGCGGCCGUAACUAUAACGGUCCUAAGGUAGCGAAAUUCCUUGUCGGGUAAGUUCCGACCUGCACGAAUGGCGUAAUGAUGGCCAGGCUGUCUCCACCCGAGACUCAGUGAAAUUGAACUCGCUGUGAAGAUGCAGUGUACCCGCGGCAAGACGGAAAGACCCCGUGAACCUUUACUAUAGCUUGACACUGAACAUUGAGCCUUGAUGUGUAGGAUAGGUGGGAGGCUUUGAAGCGUGGACGCCAGUCUGCGUGGAGCCAACCUUGAAAUACCACCCUUUAAUGUUUGAUGUUCUAACGUUGGCCCCUUACCGGGGUUGCGGACAGUGUCUGGUGGGUAGUUUGACUGGGGCGGUCUCCUCCCAAAGCGUAACGGAGGAGCACGAAGGUUAGCUAAUCCUGGUCGGACAUCAGGAGGUUAGUGCAAUGGCAUAAGCUAGCUUGACUGCGAGCGUGACGGCGCGAGCAGGUGCGAAAGCAGGUCAUAGUGAUCCGGUGGUUCUGAAUGGAAGGGCCAUCGCUCAACGGAUAAAAGGUACUCCGGGGAUAACAGGCUGAUACCGCCCAAGAGUUCAUAUCGACGGCGGUGUUUGGCACCUCGAUGUCGGCUCAUCACAUCCUGGGGCUGAAGUAGGUCCCAAGGGUAUGGCUGUUCGCCAUUUAAAGUGGUACGCGAGCUGGGUUUAGAACGUCGUGAGACAGUUCGGUCCCUAUCUGCCGUGGGCGCUGGAGAAUUGAGGGGGGCUGCUCCUAGUACGAGAGGACCGGAGUGGACGCAUCACUGGUGUUCGGGUUGUCAUGCCAAUGGCACUGCCCGGUAGCUAAAUGCGGAAGAGAUAAGUGCUGAAAGCAUCUAAGCACGAAACUUGCCCCGAGAUGAGUUCUCCCUGAGACUUUAAGUCUCCUGAAGGAACGUU